AUUGAACGCUGGCGGCAUGCCUUACACAUGCAAGUCGAACGGCAGCACGGGUGCUUGCACCUGGUGGCGAGUGGCGAACGGGUGAGUAAUACAUCGGAACAUGUCCUGUAGUGGGGGAUAGCCCGGCGAAAGCCGGAUUAAUACCGCAUACGAUCUACGGAUGAAAGCGGGGGACCGUCGGGCCUCGCGCUAUAGGGUUGGCCGAUGGCUGAUUAGCUAGUUGGUGGGGUAAAGGCCUACCAAGGCGACGAUCAGUAGCUGGUCUGAGAGGACGACCAGCCACACUGGGACUGAGACACGGCCCAGACUCCUACGGGAGGCAGCAGUGGGGAAUUUUGGACAAUGGGCGAAAGCCUGAUCCAGCAAUGCCGCGUGUGUGAAGAAGGCCUUCGGGUUGUAAAGCACUUUUGUCCGGAAAGAAAUCCUUGGCUCUAAUACAGUCGGGGGAUGACGGUACCGGAAGAAUAAGCACCGGCUAACUACGUG
rnacentral:rRNA from 1 species